GUGAAUCAUCGAAUCUUUGAAUGCAAAUUGCACUCUCUUCGGAGAGUAUGCCCGUUUGAGGGUCAGUAUUAAUAAAAAUCGGUGUGUUGCUUCUUUGUGACGCUCCGUAGAUUGGGUCAUCUUAAUAUCCUUUAGGUUUUAAGAGGCUUAAAAUUGACUUUUUUUGCGCACUUUAGAUGUACAUAAAUUCUUUUUUUUAUCUGUCUUCUUUAAUCUUCAAAAUCCUAUUAGAUGCUACCAUAUCGUGUU
rnacentral:misc_RNA from 1 species